GACGAACGCUGGCGGCGUGCUUAACACAUGCAAGUCGAGCGAUGAAGCACCUUCGGGUGUGGAUUAGCGGCGAACGGGUGAGGAACACGUGAGGAAUCUGCCUUUCACUUCGGGAUAACUCCGGGAAACCGGGGCUAAUACCGGAUAUUUUCAACUGGCGGCAUCGCCGGUUGAAGAAAGUUUUUCGGUGAAAGAUGACCUCGCGGCCUAUCAGCUUGUUGGUGAGGUAAUGGCUCACCAAGGCGACGACGGGUAGCCGGCCUGAGAGGGCGACCGGCCACACUGGGACUGAGACACGGCCCAGACUCCUACGGGAGGCAGCAGUGGGGAAUAUUGGGCAAUGGAGGAAACUCUGACCCAGCGACGCCGCGUGAGGGAUGAAGGCCUUCGGGUUGUAAACCUCUUUCAGCAGGGAAUAAGCGAAAGUGAAGGUACCUGCAGAAGAAGCACCGGCUAACUAUGUGCCAGCCGCCGCCGUAA
rnacentral:rRNA from 1 species